GAUGAACGCUAGCGGCAGGCUUAACACAUGCAAGUCGAGGGGCAGCGCGGGUAGCAAUACCUGGCGGCGACCGGCAAACGGGUGCGGAACACGUACAGAACCUACCUUGAUCUGGGGCAUAGCCCGAAGAAAUUCGGAUUAACUCCCCAUAAUAUUAUUGGAUGGCAUCAUUUGGUAAUUAAAAAUUUAUUGGAUCAAGAUGGCUGUGCGUCCCAUUAGCUAGUUGGUAGGGUAACGGCCUACCAAGGCGACGAUGGGUAGCUGGUGUGAGAGCACGACCAGCCACACGGGAACUGGAACACGGGCCCGACUCCUACGGGAGGCAGCAGUGAGGAAUAUUGGUCAAUGGACGCAAGUCUGAACCAGCCAUGCCGCGUGAAGGAUGAAGGCCUUCUGGGUUGUAAACUUCUUUUAUCUGGGAAGAAAACUACGGUUUCUACUGUAGCCGACGGUACCAGAGGAAUAAGCACCGGCUAACUCCGUGCCAGCAGCCGCCGUAAUAC
rnacentral:rRNA from 1 species